CGGAACGUAGCUCAGCUCGGUCAGAGCACUCGGUUUGGGACCGAGAUGCCGCAGGUUCAAAUCCUGCCGUUCCGA
rnacentral:tRNA from 1 species